UGAAGGACUCAGUAACAUCAGAGUCAGUUACAGGUUUCUCUGACCUUUCUCAAUGCUCUCCUUCCUACCCCAUGCAACUGCUGCUAUCUAAAUUGUUUAGAGUUACUCUGAGGAAAAAAGAUAUUCUUGGAUUAAGCUGGCUGCAGGACUCCUGCCUGUCUGGCUUCAUGGUGGCUCAGAUGAAAAGAAGAAAUGAAAAUCUCUUUACACAGAGGUGUGGAAAAACUGCCUUACCAUGGUGUUCAUGAAACUAAACACUGGCAUGGGUGUAAGGAGGCACAUAUGAUUUGGUGAAUGCUUUCCUCCAGACACGCCUCAAUAAGAUGAACCAAAUAACCUUCAGCAGACCUCCAAAGGCAUCUUGCCCUCUUUGCUGACUGAACAUGGAACUUGAUCUGGUUUCCUGAAGGUGGCUUGGAUGGUAUGCCUCAUUUCACUUUUGGGAUGUAAUUGUGCCUGCCAAGAUUAUCUUGAACCAAAGGGAACUGCAAGUACUGUCAAGGAGGAAGUGAGACAAUGGCACAGAGAUAAGGCAUCUUUGGGUUUAACGUCAAAAAAGUUAAACAAUGGUCAAGCAAUUGACUGGGAGAAUGUUAAUUCUAGGUGCCAAGCAGAGCUGCAUAGGCUAUUUGCUUAGGCUAAGGAUCAAGCUGAAGCAUUUAUCACUGUACUUUAGAAAGUCCGAAGUAAAGUGAGAUAAAGGUAGAGCUUGGGAGGCAGCAGCUUCAUACAGUACAGGUGAUCAAAACACAGCAGUGUGUCCACAACUGUGCUGCCCCAAGGGGAGUGAGAAAUUGCAAAGUCAAGAGGAGUACUAAGCCUGCACAUUUUUUUGUUUCCGCUCACUAUGGCCUGAGUCAGAAUUAUUAAUGUGUUUCCCUGUAAGAAACUGAGUUUAAAUCUGCAGCCUGUGGUCACAUCUAUGGGCAGUGUUUUCUGAAAGGGGAAAAGGGUCUGUGAUGUGGGGAGGUGCAGCAGAUUCCUAGCUCACUGGUGGAAGCAGGGUUUGAUUAGUUGGUGGGAUUUCUGUUGAGAGAGUGAGCCCAUUCCAUCUGGCUUGUGAGCAGGGUAGGUCCCAGCAAGUCAGUGGUGCAUGUGGAGGCCAGGGAGGAGGGUCUGUGAGUCUGGGGAGUUUUUGGUGUGGCAGAGGAAUGGCUCCAGUUUCCAUAUUUUCUCCAUGUGCUAGUCUGCUGCUGUCUGGGAUGGCGAAAGGAAAAUUUGUGAUUUGUGGCAAGCACAGCUGGCCCUGCCACAUCAGUCAGGCAGAAAAAAAGGGGAAGAUUUCAUCAGAGGUUGUAAUAUAUUCACCCAGAGAUCCAGUCUAAAGCACUGGUUGCCACAGUUAAAGAUGUGAAGGAAGCUCUGCCUGUCAUCUCUCAAGGAUGUGCACAGAAGGAAGGGAAAGGCAGAGUUCACCCUGAGGCCAGGAUACCCAGUGACACAUUUAGUCCUAUGGAUGAAGUGAUGGAGGACUCUGUUUUUCGGGUUGAAAAAUAUGAGUGUAUCUCUGAAGGCUGUAUGCAUUGAGAAGAGAUUAUUGUAUACAGUACAGUUUAUUCCUUCUUUUAAUUGAUCAGAAAAGAAAAAUUUAUGAAAUUGUAUUAAGCCAGCUCUGUUAACAGGGAACUUAUUCAAGAUUGCAAACAGAGGAAAUGAGAACCUAGGAAAUGUCAAAACAAUCACUUCCUCUGAAGCUGUAAUCAAUCCCUUCCUUGCAUGUUCGUGUUAUGAUACAGUUCUUCAGUGGCAUAGCAGUGUGGUCUUUGUCUACAGGAUUCAGUGCACAGCAGAAUCAGUACAAUGCAUAAGAGCUGUUAACAAAUAAAACAAAGAGAUAAGUCUAAAAAUGCAUUCCAGCAGAGCUAGUUGGUUUUUAUCCAAACAAUCAGUACUAGUCUCCAAAUAAAAUAUCUUCAUCCAUCAAGAAACCCUUGGGAAUUAAAAACCCACCUAGUUAAACAGAAAAAUAAAAUGUAAAUAUGUCCACAAAGUCUUGUUGCUGAAAUAUGUAUCACUUUGCUAAAUAAAACUGACACUGUGAUAUUGGAGAAGUGAUUAGGAGCCCAAAGUGUGUUCUUCCAGUGGAAAAAGCUAUAUAUAAAAGAAAAGGAAACAAAAGGACUUUAAGUUCAUUUGUCCCUAUUCAUGGUUUAUGUGACAAAUAACUACAAGCUCAGAUGUUCCAGAACUGCAAGCUUUCUAAGUCACCUUUAACAUUUUUGUAUUCAAUAAGGUUGCCUCGGCAGUGCCAUAACCCAGAGUUUUGUAACAUUUGCCCAAGGGAGUAUUUAUUUGUGGGUUCGUUGUCCACAUCCUAUGGCCACUAUUGCCAGUUGCUGAGGUAGUUUACAGAAGUAUAAAUACUGUCCAAAUAUCAUUUCUCCCUGUAAACAAUUUCAAAUGAAAGGGGUCAAGGCUGACAUCAUCAGGUGCUGAAGCUGUGAAGAGAGGCAGAGAACAGUUCAAGAGGCACCCUGUCUAUCAAUGUGGGAGUCUCACCAUCACUUUUGGCCUAGGUCUGUAUAACUGGAUCCAAAACAAAUGUCUACCCCUGUGUUUAACCUUCUGCACCAGGUUAAAACUGAGGCAGGCAGGCAUGCUUUCAUAGUUCUCCUCAUUCCCCUCUUCUCCCAUUUCCUCCUACACAAUCUGCUCCCUGCAGAGAGGGAGCCAGGGCUGGGCAGCAGGUGCAGAGCAGCAGGGGCAUGGCCAGGGACAGCUGUGCACCACGGUGGCCCCACUGAGGGCAGAGACAGCACGGCCCCUGCAGCAGCAUUCACCCACAGGAACUGCCCUCCCUGCAAAAGGGAAAGGGGCAGCUUCCUCAAGGGAAAGAGCAAACCUUAUUUUCCUCCAGGAAAACAGAGAUAACAGACAGGUCAUGUUCCUCAAACAUGACCUUGCCAGGUCAAAAAUCACAUUUUCCAGCCAUCUUCUUUCCAUCCAUAGCUCCAACUACUUCUGGCUGAGGCUCUGGGGUGUUCUCUCAGAUGGAGGCUUAUGAAGUCACUGUGCAGCCCAAGAAGAGCUCAGCUCUGCUAGAGAGCUCCAAAAAGACCCAGUAUUCAGUGAUCUCUCCAGCUGUCAGACUGGAGAGAGAGAAAUGGUGAGAGUAGUAGGCAGUUUGCUGGAUUGGGACCCCGGGUCCCCCAUGCUGCUGUGCUGAGCAGCUUGGCCUGCAGUCAUCCUCCUGCACCCUGGGCCUCACUGUGUCCCCUCCUCCAUGGGACAUGCUGGUUUUACUCUGCCCUUGCGCUGUCUCACUCUCUAACCUGCAGAGAACAACUCUCCCUUUUUGUUGGGUUAGGAGGCUGCAAUGGCCCAGAAGUGAGAGAGGCAUGGCAAGUGGGACCAGAGUCAAGAGGAGCAGGGAGAUGUUCUUGGACUGGCACCCCUAACAUGCCAUCAGAGGCAAUGUGGCUGGAAUUAUUUGGUGCAUCCUAAGGCAACAGCUCUGCACUUCCACGCUGCCCUUCUCUGCGUCCUUCUCUCCCUUUCCUCCCUGCUAUCACAGCUACACCACCAAAUAUUCUGCUCCUCAGCUUCAUCUCUUGUUUCACUCCAUGCAAGCCAGUUCAAUCCAGCAGAAUGUUCUACACCUAACUUUUG